CUACGUGCCAGCAGCCGCGGUAAUACGGAAGGUCCAGGCGUUAUCCGGAUUUAUUGGGUUUAAAGGGAGCGUAGGCUGGAGAUUAAGUGUGUUGUGAAAUGUAGACGCUCAACGUCUGAAUUGCAGCGCAUACUGGUUUCCUUGAGUACGCACAACGUUGGCGGAAUUCGUCGUGUAGCGGUGAAAUGCUUAGAUAUGACGAAGAACUCCGAUUGCGAAGGCAGCUGACGGGAGCGCAACUGACGCUUAAGCUCGAAGGUGCGGGUAGCAAACAGGAUUAGAUACCCUGGUAGUCCACGCCGUAAACGAUGAUUACUAGGUGUUGGGGGUCGAACCUCAGCGCCCAAGCUAACGCGAUAAGUAAUCCGCCUGGGGAGUACGUACGCAAGUAUGAAACUCAAAGGAAUUGACGGGGACCCGCACAAGCGGUGGAGCAUGUGGUUUAAUUCGACGCAACGCGAGGAACCUUACCAGCGUUUGACAUC
rnacentral:rRNA from 1 species